GUCGACUCUGAAGGCUGUCGUUUGUUUGACAGAUUACUCACACCUACACGUAUAUGUAUACAUAGGUAUUAUACAUAUAUUCAGGUAUGCAUCCCGUGUACCUGUAUAUACGUAUGUCGUGUAGAUACCUAGGCACGUAUAGGUAUAG